GUUCGAUCUCAAAUCAGGUAGGACUACCCGCUGAACUUAAGCAUAUCAAUAAGCGGA
rnacentral:rRNA from 1 species